CGCGUACAGUGGGGGCGUCUCGCGCAUAUCUCUUGAAAAUUGCCUUUCUGCCGCCACUGAGAGAGUCGACUCCGCUACUGAGAGAGUCGACUCCGCUAGCGCGGGGACGACUCGGCAGGUGUCGGGGACGUCUCCAAGUGUGCCGGUUCUUCCUGUUUGUGCCAGAGACGUCUCUGAAACUAUCCGGAGACGUCUCGGCUGUCCCUGAUCUGUUUUCUUUAACUCAAAAUAUUCUUCAAUAAAUUCAUAAAAAUUAUGGGAACUUGCCUAGACAUUUCUUAACAAUAUUCUCAAUUAAUCACAUGAAUUCCUCAAUUAAAUUGUUAAGAUAAAUGGAAUUAUACUCUAGUGUUUUGUAUUCAUCAAAAUCCAUUAGGGGGUCAACA
rnacentral:lncRNA from 1 species